rfam:Pontibacter sp. BAB1700 contig79, whole genome shotgun sequence.
CUGGCCGUGAGGCGGCAGUGAAGAAAGCGGGACUGCAAAAUCCGGUACUGACGGACAGAAACUGCAUAAGAGGCAGGAAGUCGUGGGUAAACAAGCACCUCUUUGCAACGCCCCUGACCAACAAACGACCUUGUGUAGAUGCAGCAGGAAUCGGAGGAAGGAAGGUGCU